rnacentral:lncRNA from 1 species
GGAGGAGAAAGCAACUGGCUUCGUGGAAACUUCUGGUUCCAUCUAGCAGACUUGGCUGUGCCCCUUUUCCAGGAUGCAGAGCUCCACCCUGAGUCAUCGGUUAUUAUUGUGGCACUUAAUCUUUCCACCUAGUCCAGAGCCUUCCGGUUCUGGGCUGCUUGUAAUCUUCCUUUUAUUAAGAGAAAAUCGCUUUGCUUUACCGGACUGCUGCUGGCUCCAGUCUGCAAAUUGGGAGGGAGGAGGGCGGAGUGACUGAAGGAAAGCAAAUCUAAUUGGGAAGGUUUUUCAGGACAUGUCCCUUAAUUAACUACCACCUUUGUGAUCAAGAACAGGUUACAAGCUGAGACAGAAGAAUCAUAUAAACCCAAAGAAGAAUGCCCUGAAUAAUUUUACAAUCCAGGACACAAUGUUUUCACCAAUGAUGGAACAGUGUUCACCAGUGGAAGGGCCCUCAAACACUCUUUGCUAGAGGUAAGCUCUGGAGAUUUUGAGCCAUCCCAGUUACACAGCACAGAGGACUGUGGAUUCAAAAUGGCAUACAUAUUCAAUUAUUUUGCUGAACAAGAAGAAUCAGAUCAAAAAGGAAAAAAAUGACAAGGAAAAUAAAAUUCAAGCAAACAACAACAAAAGAAGUAAAAAUGCUAAGUUGUGAUCCACACUUAGUUCCCACAGUCUUUUCUCUGGGUGUAAAUGGCUCUCAUCAUCACAAAAUCAUGGGAACUGGUCUGACUUGUCUCAUUGUUGAGAAGAGCCACAUCCACCAGAAUUGAUCAUUGUAUAAUCUUGCCAUUGUCUUGUACAAUAAAAUCCUGGUUCUGCUCAUUUCAUUUAACAUCAGUUCAUGUAACUCUCUCCAGGCCUCUCUGAAAUCAUCCUGCUGAUCAUUUCUUAUAGAACAAUAAUAUUCCACAACAUUCAUAUACCAUAACUUAUACAGCCAUUCUUCAACUGAUGGACAUCCACUCAGUUUUGUACCAUUACAAAAAAGGGCAGCCACAAACAUUUUUGCACAUGUGGGUCCCUUUCCCUUCCUUAAGAUCUCUUUGAAAUAUAAGCUCAGUAGAAACACUGCUGGAUCAAAGGGUAUGCAUAGUUUGAUAAACCUUUUGAG